rnacentral:rRNA from 1 species
CCUACGGGAGGCAGCAGUAGGGAAUUUUCGUCAAUGGGCGCAAGCCUGAACGAGCAAUGCCGCGUGAACGAGGAAGAUCUUCGGAUCGUCAAGUUCUGUUGAAGGGGAAAAAGAGCGGAGAGAGGAAAUGCUUUCUGAUUGAUAUUACCCUUCGAGGAAGUAACGGCUAACUACGUGCCAGCAGCCGCGGUAAUCCGUAGGUGGCGAGCGUUAUCCGGAAUGAGUGGGCGUAAAGGGAGCGUAGGAGGCCUGCUAAUGCUGGGGUAAAAGGUACCGGCUCAACCGGUACAGGCUCUGGAAACUGGCGGGCUAGAGAGCAGGAGAGGGCGGUGGAACUCCAUGUGUAGCGGUAAAAUGCGUAGAUAUAUGGAAGAACACCAGUGGCGAAGGCGGCCGCCUGGCCUGUUACUGACGCUGAGGCACGAAAGCGUGGGGAGCAAAUAGGAUUAGAUACCCUUGUAGUC